ensembl:misc_RNA Metazoa_SRP Metazoan signal recognition particle RNA
GCUGGGCGUGGUGGUGCAUGCCUGUAAUCCCAGCUACUCUGGAGGCUGAAGCAGAAGAAUCGCUUGAACCCGGGAGGCGGAGGUUGCAAUGAGCCGAGAUUGUGCCAUUGCACUCCAGCCUGGGUGAUAGAGUGAGACUCUGUCUCAG